UGAUUGCAAGGGCGCUACCAUGCAGUCGAGCGCACUCUUCGGAGUGAGCGGCGGACGGGUUAGUAACGCGUGGGAACGUGCCCUUCUCUAAGGAAUAGCCACUGGAAACGGUGAGUAAUACCUUAUACGCCCUUCGGGGGAAAGAUUUAUCGGAGAAGGAUCGGCCCGCGUUAGAUUAGAUAGUUGGUGGGGUAAUGGCCUACCAAGUCUACGAUCUAUAGCUGGUUUUAGAGGAUGAUCAGCAACACUGGGACUGAGACACGGCCCAGACUCCUACGGGAGGCAGCAGUGGGGAAUCUUGGACAAUGGGCGCAAGCCUGAUCCAGCCAUGCCGCGUGAGUGAUGAAGGCCUUAGGGUCGUAAAGCUCUUUCGCCAGAGAUGAUAAUGACAGUAUCUGGUAAAGAAACCCCGGCUAACUCCGUGCCAGCAGCCGCGGUAAUACGGAGGGGGUUAGCGUUGUUCGGAAUUACUGGGCGUAAAGCGCACGUAGGCGGAUCAGAAAGUAUAGGGUGAAAUCCCAGGGCUCAACCCUGGAACUGCCUUGUAAACUCCUGGUCUUGAGUUCGAGAGAGGUGAGUGGAAUUCCGAGUGUAGAGGUGAAAUUCGUAGAUAUUCGGAGGAACACCAGUGGCGAAGGCGGCUCACUGGCUCGAUACUGACGCUGAGGUGCGAAAGUGUGGGGAGCAAACAGGAUUAGAUACCCU
rnacentral:rRNA from 1 species